rnacentral:rRNA from 1 species
GACAGAGGAGGCGAGCGUUGUUCGGAAUCACUGGGCGUAAAGGGCGUGCAGGCUGUCAGGUAAGUCAGAUGUGAAAUCUCCUAUUGAAAAGAGGAAACUGCAUUUGAUACUACUUGACUAGAGUUUAGGAGGGGAAAGUGGAAUUCCCAGUGUAGCGGUGAAAUGCGUAGAUAUUGGGAGGAACACCGGUGGCGAAGGCGACUUUCUGGCCUAUAACUGACGCUCAGACGCGAAAGCUAGGGGAGCAAACAGGAUUAGAUACCCGCGUA